GACUGCACUAACUGUAAGUCCCUCUGGAUAAGAGUGUCUGCUAAAUGACUAUAA
rfam:Salmo salar isolate Sally breed double haploid chromosome ssa03, whole genome shotgun sequence.